rnacentral:lncRNA from 1 species
AAAAAAAAACACUUAGGAAAAAAUCCUGUGGGAGUGAGGGGCUCAGCCAGAGACUCCAGUGAGCCUUGCCCAUGUCUUCACAUGAGCUAGUGUUUCUAACAAGGUAUGCAAGGUGCCAGGCAUUCCCUGUGGUUUCACCAUAUUUGCAGGCCAGUUGGAGUCGUUGACAUUACAAAGUCAACAUUUACAGGUGGAAAGUCAUCCAGGUGGGGAGACAGCCAUUGUAGAAAAAGCAAAAAUAUCCUUUCCACUAGGCAGUUGUGGGAAGCCAUAAAUAUGCCAGUGCUGGAUGGGUGGGGGGAGGGCACAAGCAGAACAGCAAAAGAAAACUAAUUCAUUUUUGGGGUCAGGAAAGUUGAAAAAGUCCUCUCUUUCCCCUGUAGGAUGGGAUACUGUGGUCAACCCCUGUUUGGAAGAUGAAACAGCAGUGACUUGAGCCAUGCUGCCUCGAAGGCAGAUCCAUGCCAAGAUCAUCCCUCUUUCAGUUCUACUUUCAGGAUGUAACUCCCUUAGCAGUAACACUGAGGUAUCCUGAAGAGAAGUUUUGUGCAAUCCCAGCUGUGCUGAUUUUUCCAGUAAGAAGGUAUCUAGGAGUUACAUUUCAGUUCAGGAGAGCACGGACUGGACUGCUGGACCUUCCCCCACCAAGAUCUCAAAAUUGGGAUAUGUCAGAAGAGCCUACAGGUUGUUAUUCAGGCUUAUUGCCCCUGAGCCUACACCAAGAGGAUGAACAAGAAUUGUAA